CUGAGUACAGCAGAUUUGCGUCCCCUCCGCCGCCGUCGACUUCUCCAGCUCGACCGCCGGCGCCUCCGGCGUGAGCUCCCUCUGCCAACCCUUCGUCUGCCCCUCCGCCGACACCACUGCCCGCGCCUCGGACCAUCUGCACGGGCGGCGUCCUAUAGGAGCUGUAGUGUAGAACCUGGGCUCCUGUGCCUUCUACCAGGAUUCCUGUAGCUCCUAUAUAUCGCUCGCGUCAAACGCCAUCAGCACUAUGCGCUCGACGCAGAUGCUGAACGACGCCCUAGGCACCUGCCGCUACCGCCAUGGGCUCAAGUUUUUCGUCAACCGAAGCCACCCUCCCGACAGCCGUGGCCAUCGCCGCUUCCCUCCUCGCAGCCACAGGCGUGAACAGGAGCGUGCGGACCUCUUCAGCGCAGCCUCCAAUCUCCCGACACCAGCGACACCCAAGCCGAAGAGGAUGGCGGCCACGACAUUCUGGCCACCUACCUACAACGACCUUCGGCCCAUCGCAAGCACCGCAGCACCCACCCCUGACGUCGGCAUGGAUGGCGUACAGGAGGUGUUCGAUGGAAUGCCCAUGAGUGACAGUGACCCGAUGCAGACUUCACCGGAGCAGAGAUGCAGAUUUGACCUGGCAGCGAUCAAUUCUUGUCGUGCUGCUGCUCGAUAGGAAAUAAGAUUUGCAGCAAAAGUCCAUUGUCUUCAGCAUUAAGCUUCUGGUUUGCUCCUUUGGUUAGUCGAUUCCAUCUGUAUCCUUGUAUUGUUUCAAAAAUUUCCUAAUGUCCCGCUCUUGCACUCCCAUCUGCCUCCAUUAGCUACAUGGCAUUAAUUGAACAUUGCUAGCUUUCAUCAAGGGUCAAUAUUGUGCAUUUAGCAGGUAAUAUUGGACCAAAAAGAAACGUAGGCUGAUGGCACUUAUCUUAUGGUGAGAGUUUUUGUUUUUUUAGUGGAUUGAUAGAGCUAAAGACCACAAAUAUUUUGUUUGCAUUUUCAAGCAUCAACAGCAAAUAAGUUUAGAUGGAACAUCUGAACCUGCCCCAACUCUUGUAGGCCAUAUUCACCUGAGGGACAUCUUGAAAGGAUAGACAUUAGUACUCAGGACAUUUUCCACAAGUGGCAAGAAGUUUGAGACAUAUGCAAAGAAAAAAAAAGGACAUCUUUAUCACCUGUUAAAAAAUUGCUUUGACCACUUGAUACUUUUUAUUAGUUUUCUAAUGUAAUCUGGUGAGCCUUCAUCUGUUCAACUGUAAAUAUCACAUACAGAAUUUGUUUAGAUAUCCCUCUGGCAGUACCAGCUUUGUCAAUAGAGGGAGGUGUUCUUCAUAAGGGGUCACAAGUCACAAUUGACAACCUACUUCAAACUUGUCACACCACAUGUAUAGCUAAAUUAAAUUUGUCACUUGUGAAAAAUGAACAUGUAAUCAAUUUAGAAAGACAUGCUCCUGACAAAAAAUAAUUUAAUUUCAGGCUGCCUUGUAUUUGAGAGCCAUCACAAUUCUUUAACAGAAAGAUCAAAACCUCAUUGCAUUUGUUAGAUUACAACACAUAAUAAAGAAGGGGCAUCCACAUCUAAUACAGGCUGACACACUGGUCUUUCUGUUUACAUUGCUAUAUUUUACCAUUGUCUUUAUAGCUGAAGAAACAGCGAAGAAACAAAUUCAAUUCCCCAGCUUUACCUAUUUGUACUAAUUCUUAUUUGCACGGGAAGAACUUAUAAACUCACAGGCGCAUUAUAUUACAUAAAUUCACUUACGGUAUAUCCAUUAGAGGCAUCCAAACUUUUUUUUUCUUUGCCAUAAGUGCAGUUCUAUUGGAGUCUGAGAUCCAACUGUUUUGACAAAAGGGAUCUGCAGUCUGCACUACAUAUUUUCAUGUUCUCGGUGCUUUUUCAUUCAGUAACACCAUAAUACUAAUAAAUUAUAUACAUAUUAUUAGGUACCUACCUAUUCAAAUUUGGAAGCAAGAAGCGUCUUAUGUAUCCUGCUUAUUCAAAUUUUGCAACUAUAUAGUGUGGCACUACACAAAACAGCUUAGUAUCAGAUAAUAAAUGGAUUUACUUCGGCAUUGCCUUAUUCGUUUGGCUGAUAAGCUAUGACUGAAAGUAUUGUUGGUUGAUUUGUUGUGAGAGAAAAACACUGCUGAAUGGCUGACACAUUCGGCAGAUAAGCUCAAGCGAUAAGUCAUCCUCAAAGCACAGUUAAGAUCAGGAAGCUGUAAAUUGCUAGAGUCGCAAACUCCUGUCUCGUAUGUUCUCAAAGCCCAAGGACCAUUGCCAAAAAGCUGACUCGAGAAAGUUAUCUCAAAGGAGAUGAUGCAGGAGGUUCAAAUGCAUAUUCGUUAUGCUAUUUCAUUCAUGUUUACAAGCCUAGAAAAUCACUCAAGUAUUAGCCGCAUCUACAAUAAAGUAGCCUGGACCUACUUUAAUAAAAUUUUUCAAUGGAUUCUUUCACUGUUCAAAAGAGCAGAUAAUGAAAAGAUAAAUGAUAGCUCAGUUACAUAUAAUAAUGACAGAGA